rnacentral:lncRNA from 10 species
CGAACCUAGCAAAAUGCUUCAAAGACAGCAGGAUGGCCAUGCCACAUGAGCCUUCAGAUGUGUCCCUCUGCUCUGCAACAAGGAUCCGUGAUCUGGUUCCCAGGCCUGCCUUUCCUUAUCUUGGGGCAACUUAUUCCCCCAGUGGGGAUAUUGUUUUAAAGGAUAAGGGGCAGCCAGUGCUCCCUGAUUUUGGAAAGGAGGUGAAUCUGGGGUAAGGCAAAAUGUCAGCUCUACAUGCAGUACAACAGUCCCAGAGUGCUCAGUCAGCCAAGACCCAGGGUGGGUUGACACUUACAUACCUGAGUUCCUGUUGAGCACGUGGCUUAUUCUUUUAUGCUGAGACUCUCAGAAAGAAAGAAAGGAAGGAAGAAAGAAAGGAGAAGAGAGGAGAGAGGGAGAGAGGAGAAAGAGAGGGAGAAAAAGAAAAAGAAAGAUGAGAGCAGAGAAGAAGGAAGAAAGGAAGGAAAAAGGAAGAAGGAAGGAAAAAAAGAGAGUAAGAAAGAAAGGAGAGGGAAGGAGGAAGGAAGAAAGAACAAAAGAAAAAGAA